CCUACGGGAGGCAGCAGUGGGGAAUAUUGCGCAAUGGGCGAAAGCCUGACGCAGCAACGCCGCGUGGGGGAUGAAGGCCUUCGGGUUGUAAACCUCUUUCAGCAGGGAAGAAGCGAAAGUGACGGUACCUGCAGAAGAAGCACCGGCUAACUACGUGCCAGCAGCCGCGGUAAUACGUAGGGUGCAAGCGUUGUCCGGAUUUAUUGGGCGUAAAGAGCUCGUAGGCGGUUAGUCACGUCGGAUGUGAAAUCCCGGAGCUUAACUCCGGGCCUGCAUUCGAUACGGGCUGACUCGAGUGUUGUAGGGGAGACUGGAACUCCUGGUGUAGCGGUGAAAUGCGCAGAUAUCAGGAAGAACACCGGUGGCGAAGGCGGGUCUCUGGGCAACUACUGACGCUGAGGAGCGAAAGCGUGGGGAGCAAACAGGAUUAGAUACCCUGGUAGUCCACGCCGUAAACGGUGGGCGCUAGGUGUGGGGAACAUUCCACGUUCUCUGCGCCGCAGCUAACGCAUUAAGCGCCCCGCCUGGGGAGUACGGCCGCAAGGCUAAAACUCAAGGAAUUGACGG
rnacentral:rRNA from 1 species